rnacentral:tRNA from 1 species
CGGGAUGUGGCGCAGCCUGGUAGCGCACUUGACUGGGGGUCAAGGGGCCGUGGGUUCGAAUCCCGCCAUCCCGACCA